GACUCUCGGCAACGGAUAUCUCGGCUCUUGCAUCGAUAAAGAACGUAGCAAAAUGCGAUACUUGGUGGGAAUUGCAGAAUCCCGUGAACCAUCGAGUCUUUGAACGCAAGUUGCGCCCCAAGCCUUCUGGCCAAGGGCACGUCUGCCUAGUUGUCA
rnacentral:rRNA from 2 species